rnacentral:misc_RNA from 1 species
GAUGAAGAACGCAGCGAAAUGCGAUAAGUAAUGUGAAUUGCAGAAUUCAGUGAAUCAUCGAAUCUUUGAACGCACAUUGCGCCCGCCAGUAUUCUGGCGGGCAUGCCUGUUCGAGCGUCAUUUCAACCCUCAGGUCCCCCUUUUCGGAGGGGGAGACACCCUGGUGUUGGGGGACGGCAUCCUGGCCCGCUGUCUCACAGUGUGCCACGCCGCCCCCGAAAUGAAUUGGCGGCCUCGUCGCGUGCCACCCCUGCGUAGUAGCACAACCUCGCAACGGGAGCCCGACGCGGCCACUGCCGUAAAACGCCCAACUUUUACCGAGUUGACCUCGAAUCAGGUAGGAAUACCCGCUGAACUUAAGCAUAUCAAUAAAGCGGAGGA